AGGCAGCUAGCUCAACUGGCUAGAGCUUUCCGUUUACACCGGAAGGGUUGGGGGUUCAAGUCCCUCGCUGCCUA
rnacentral:tRNA from 1 species